rnacentral:rRNA from 1 species
AUUGAACGCUGGCGGCAUGCCUUACACAUGCAAGUCGAACGGCAGCACGGACUUCGGUCUGGUGGCGAGUGGCGAACGGGUGAGUAAUAUAUCGGAACAUACCUUGUAGUGGGGGAUAACUAUCCGAAAGGAUAGCUAAUACCGCAUACGCUCUAAGGAGGAAAGUGGGGGAUCGCAAGACCUCAUGCUAUAAGAGUGGCCGAUAUCUGAUUAGCUAGUUGGUGAGGUAAAGGCUCACCAAGGCAAAGAUCAGUAGCUGGUCUGAGAGGACGACCAGCCAAACUGGAACUGAGACACGGUCCAGACUCCUACGGGAGGCAGCAGUGGGGAAUUUUGGACAAUGGGGGCAACCCUGAUCCAGCAAUGCCGCGUGAGUGAAGAAGGCCUUCGGGUUGUAAAGCUCUUUUGUCAGGGAAGAAACGGUUGUGGCUAAUAUCCAUGGCUAAUGACGGUACCUGAGGAAUAAGCACCGGCUAACUACGUGCCAGCCGCCGCCGUAA